UGCAACUAGAUGGAACUGCUUGGAUGUUACU
rnacentral:piRNA from 1 species